UACGUAGGUGGCAAGCGUUGUCCGGAUUUACUGGGCGUAAAGAGCGCGCAGGCGGUCGUUCAAGUCGCGUGUGAAAGCCCCCGGCUCAACUGGGGAGGGUCACGCGAUACUGAUCGACUCGAAGGCAGGAGAGGGUAGUGGAAUUCCCGGUGUAGUGGUGAAAUGCGUAGAUAUCGGGAGGAACACCAGUGGCGAAGGCAGCUCGCUGGGACGUGACUGACGCUGAGACGCGAAAGCGUGGGGAGCAAACAGG
rnacentral:rRNA from 1 species